CAAAAUCAUCAGAAGUACAAGGGAUUUCAAAUUCAAUCAUGAUAUAACAUGCGCAUGCUAAAAUUUGAACAAUCAACGGGGCAAUUGCAAUAAACGAAGCCAUGGCAGACAUGCUUAGAGGACUUGGGAAGGAACUGAAAUUCAAAGAAAAAGGGGCGACUUAUAGUGCUCUUACUUGAGCGGUGGCGACGGCGAUUAUGACGAAGCCGAAGACGGUGAGUUGGAAUUGGAAGAUGACUAGGUCUGACUUCGUCCGAGAGCCUUCAUCUAGUGUUACAGAGAACGGCAGCAGCCCAGGAGGUUGUGUGCGGUGUUGGCGAUGGCAGACAGCAGCAGAGCGGACGCGGACUGGUGGUGACCUGGUUCUUCCUCCUCUGUCCGUUGCCGCGUCUUUCUCUCCUGAUCUUCCCGUCAGCCGCCACUCUUCCUUCACUCUAUUUUUUUUCUUUUCACGCUCAAGGCCUCCCUUCCAAGAACCCUAGCCGCUUCUCUGCUCUUCUGUUUCUCUUUUUCUCCUCAAAAACCUAGCCUAAAUUUGUCUAAGU
rnacentral:lncRNA from 1 species